AUUGAACGCUGGCGGCAUGCCUUACACAUGCAAGUCGAACGGUAACGGGCCUUCGGGUGCCGACGAGUGGCGAACGGGGGAGUAAUACAUCGGAACGUGCCCGAUCGUGGGGGAUAACGAGGCGAAAGCUUUGCUAAUACCGCAUACGAUCUACGGAUGAAAGCAGGGGACCGCAAGGCCUUGCGCGGACGGAGCGGCCGAUGGCAGAUUAGGUAGUUGGUGGGAUAAAAGCUUACCAAGCCGACGAUCUGUAGCUGGUCUGAGAGGAUGAUCAGCCACACUGGGACUGAGACACGGCCCAGACUCCUACGGGAGGCAGCAGUGGGAAAUUUUGGACAAUGGGCGCAAGCCUGAUCCAGCCAUGCCGCGUGCAGGAUGAAGGCCUUCGGGUUGUAAACUGCUUUUGUACGGAACGAAAAGCCUUCUUUUAAUACAGGAGGGUCAUGACGGUACCGUAAGAAUAAGCACCGGCUAACUACGUG
rnacentral:rRNA from 1 species